rnacentral:rRNA from 1 species
CCUACGGGGGGCAGCAGUGAGGAAUAUUGGUCAAUGGACGAGAGUCUGAACCAGCCAAGUAGCGUGAAGGAUGACUGCCCUAUGGGUUGUAAACUUCUUUUAUAAAGGAAUAAAACGAGGCACGUGUGCCUUUUUGCAUGGACUUUAUGAAUAAGGAUAGGCUAACUCCGUGCCAGCAGCCGCGGUAAUACGGAGGAUGCGAGCGUUAUCCGGAUUUAUUGGGUUUAAAGGGAGCGUAGAUGGGUUGUUAAGUCAGUUGUGAAAGUUUGCGGCUCAACCGUAAAAUUGCAAUUGAUACUGGCAGUCUUGAGUACAGUUGAGGUAGGCGGAAUUCGUGGUGUAGCGGUGAAAUGCUUAGAUAUCACGAAGAACCCCGAUUGCGAAGGCAGCUUACUAGACUGUGACUGACAUUGAUGCUCGAAAGUGUGGGGAUCAAACAGGAUUAGAUACCCCUGUAGUC